AUUUGUAUAAUAUAUAAAGUAUAUUUAACUUCCAAUUAAAAAGAUUAAAUUUUUAAUACAAAUA
rnacentral:tRNA from 1 species